rnacentral:tRNA from 1 species
CCCAGCGUAGCUCAACGGCAGAGCGGUCGGCUGUAGCCCGACAGGUUGGCGGUUCAAAUCCGCCCGCUGGGA